UUCCUCCUGUGGCUCUCCUGUGCAGUAACAAAAAGAUGCGUGGCCACCACAAUUUAGGUACAAUGGGCAACAUAAUUAACAGGAUAAGCAACACCACGCAACAAAGUGCAAACACCAAACCGAUUGUGUUUAGUCAGACAUGCAAUCAGUUGAUGACGCCGCGAACACCCAACACGACUGGCGGUGCCCUGCAGGCCCAGAAUGUAAGGCGAAGUUCCAGGCUUUUUAGCAACAACAACUAUUCAGUGAAGGAGAACACCAAGAAUGAAUCGUCGCAUACAACGUUUCCGAUUUCCGUGAAGUAUACCGAAUCAGGGGUCGCGCCACUUGAUCCGAGCUGAUGGAGAAGAAACCAGAAUUCGAUGCGAGAUUGGCGCAGAUGGGUAAACGGUUUCCGUUAUGUAAUUGCUCGAUUCUUGGAUAAUUGUGUUCACCAAAAUGAAUAAAUCAAGUAAAUAAAGUGAGUGAUGACGGAACCGAUGGAACUAUACUAUAGAACCAACUAGAAAAUCUUCGAAGAACGAUGCCGAGGAAUCCCCCCGUUCCAGAAAACGCUCGACUCGAGCGGUUCGAGACCAAGAGAAGCAAAAACCUGGCUAAAUUGCAAAGCGACGAGGACGAAUUUCAUCACAUGUUUAUGGUCUGCGUUCAGGAGAAGGAAAUGGACCGGAAGAAACGCGAAAAAUGUGAACGUUAAGUUAUUAUUAGUCAUCAAUUCAGUUUAUUAUUCGGAAGUAUUCGUGAACGUCUUUGAGGCACAAUUCAAAUUCAAGAGCCAAGCCAUCCCGAAAAAAGUGCGAUCGAUUGCUUCCGGUUGUCCAGUGGCCCGAGCAUUUCCGCUGAACAGCUGAAAAACAUUCGCAGAGGGAAACAAUGAAGAUCGUUGAGGAAAGAGCGAGCAAACGAUGGUCCGGAUCCGAUUUUUUUUGUUAAGGAAUUAAAA